GUGGGCGGCUGCAUUUCAUCCCUUCUCCACGGAUCCAGUCAUAUCGUCAACCAUACCGACCAAGACGGCCGCCGGCGAGCUGCAGAUCAUCUGGGAGGGAUCCGCCCCGCUGCCCUCCUCUUUGCCAGGCAGUACUCUAUUCGUACUCACAACAGCAUGGAUGACCAUAGAUCCGAGUCUGGUAGCCGCGCCGAGCAGCGAGAUGGUUGUGGCAACGACACCCCGGGCGCAGCCGCCGUCGGAGAUGAUUCCAACCUGGACGAGUCAUCCUCCAGCGCUGUGCCCGGAGAUCCACCCACGCCAACAUCACGCAUCUCCUUGAAGCAUGCAGUCAGUGUAAUUCAGACUUUUGAUGACUACAAGAAGUGGUUAGUAGAGCAGAUUGGGUUUGGAGGUAUGCUGAAGCUGCCAGCACUACAGAAGCUGAGUCUGAAGACGAGCGCGUGGAUUAUGAGCAGAGUUAGCGUCAGCCGCAGGGAGAUUAAAUUGAGGGACAACAAGGUUCUUAAGUUUUACCCACAGGAUUUCUACAAGGUUUUUGGGAUCCCAUGCGGCCACCGUAGUGUCAAGGGGAGGGAUGCAAACAUCAAUCCUGAGGCUGUUCAUUUUAUAAAGACAACACUUCAGAUGAACAAAACUGGAGUACACAGCUUGAGGGCAGCUGAAGAUUUUCUGAUGCGUGACAUCAAUGAGAAUUCAAGCAAACUAGAGAAAGAUUGUUUCCAGAUCGCAUUUGUGAUAUUCGUUAUGGAUCAUGUGCUAGUUCCAACCACGAAGCACAACUACACGACCAUUGACUUUUGGGGAGCCAUAGCAAACAUUGAAUCAAUCGAUCAAUUUAACUGGUGUGAGUAUGUCCUUAAGCACCUUCUCGAUGCAGUGAAGAAGCUUAAGAGAGACAUGAUGGCCAACAAUCUAUCGACCAACCUAACUGGUUGUCAUCUUUUUUUCAGGUCUUUUUGCUUGACAACCUCGACCUUGGCAUUUUCAGUAAGUCGCACAGUGUGCUCCCCAGGAUACCAGAAUUUCAUCCCGAGUCCUUCCGUCGAAUGCUUGCCAUGGCUGCUGACCCGGUUAAAGGAACUACCUCCUACGCGCAUGCCAAUCUGAGAGACGCUUCGACAGUAUGCUACACACGCCACAAGUUUCCGCCAUCAGCUCCGCCGUUUGCAACCACCAACAGGCUUACUAGGCGUUCCGGCAUGCCGAUGGCAGGACACCCCCCAAACACAACUCCUGUAAUGCAUGGGCAAACAGAGGUUUUAACACCUACCGGUCCCGCUCCCGGGCCACUUCAUUUUGCAAAGUAUCUACGGGACAAGUAUCCUCAUCUAGUAGCUGACGAGAUCACGAUGAUUUUAAAACAGCACAACGCGAGAGGCAUUAUGCAUUUGACCCAAGCCACCAACAAAAUCCAGCAGGCCCUGUUGGAAGCAAAGAAUGGGCUUCAAAUGGGCUUCUACACGUUCUCAGACAAAGUAAUAAAAUCAGUCACAAAUCGUUGUGUGUGCUGUCGCGCUCGGGGUUUCACUGAGUGUCCAGAGUCAGCCCUCCCUGCCACCUCCAAGUCUGUACGCUUUAGGACGCUUGUAGCAGGAAAAAUACAGGGACAAAGGCUUGAGCUAUCUGAUUGCGAAGCUACGUCGCCUCUGCCACCAGCCGGUAUGCGCAAGCGCGCCAUGGAUGCGCAUGAUUCUACAUCAAAUAGCAAGAAAUCCUCCUCGCGAGCAUCUUCCAAUGCGCUCAAUUACUUCAAGUCCACUUUAAUGUCCAUCGCUCAAAUGUACGCAGACCUUCCAGUCAACACUCCAUUUACUGUCUUUGGACAGUGCUGCACCAAUCUACACAAGCGGAAAUACAUAUUCCAGCAUGGAUUUGCAACCGAUCCAUGGGUGAACGGUGUUGUGCCACAUCCGCCACACAUGCCAACAACCGACCUUAUUGUUGCCCACUUCACACAGCUGCCAACGCAAGACCUACAGAGUCCACGGCUGAUCUGCGUUACCGGUAUGGCGUUGCGCGAGCAGCUUGUCGGGAUGCAGCACCUUCACCACGAGCUUGUUUCUAUAAUCAUGAGGAGGUAUUCCCAGUCCGACCAGGAAGCGAAUUCAAAGUGUCCAUACAUGAACUGGAGGCACAAUAUGGAACCUGAAUUUGCCACCAUUGUCCUUGCGGACCAUGAAUAUUUGACGAACAUCUCGAUCCAGAAGCAGUUGGUUGGCAACGAGAUCCCAUAUGACAUAACCUCUUGCCAGAUGUUCUUCUUGCCAAUACCAUCAGAGGAUGGAUGGAUAAUACUGAUGUGGGACAUGUUGUCAAGGAAGCUCCACGUGCUUGACCCUCUCACCAGAGGAGGAGGUCCGAGCGACGCAACAAAAGACAAGCACGAACUCAUAGCUUGGAAGCUUCAUCACGCUCUUUUCCAAUGCCUGAACGAGUACUACGCUGGCUGGCCCACGCAAGACGGCCAGUGGGCGACCAAAUACCCCGUUGUAGCUGAGGAAAAUUUCGAUACACAAGAAACUGGCGCGUGCGUGCUCCACAUCGCCCGACACUACGACGGCCAGAAGCUGAAGAUCCCUCUAACCAAGACUGCAAUGUCAGGUCUACAAUAAGGGAACACGACUAUGGAAAUCAUGGCCAAUCACUAUGCUGAAGGAACUUUCCCCACCAACAAACGACAUCCUCAUUAUCAGGCAGUCAUGUUAGCAUUGAACCUUGAAAUUGCUUCAGGAUAGGGAUGGGAAUGGUUCAACCCAAUUGACAGCGGGUACUUAUCCCCCCAAUCCCUCCUUGAAGAUGUUUGCUCACCUACCACACCAGUCCCUGCUGAUUCAUGUUGUCUCUUGCUGCUGUGUGUCACAGUGUGCUUAAUCCCACAUUUUUUCAGAUAAGCGAGGACAACUUGUUGGAAGUUAGUCAGUGAGCCAGUCCCGUUUAAAGCAAAACCCUGUGCACGAGCCUCACCGUCGGCGCCAUCUGCAGCACACAUAUUUUUCUCAGUGGGUACAAAAGGUUUACCAAGAUAUAUAGUUGUACAAACAUUCAUGUUGAAGUACCUGCUUCGUCACGCCGGAAAGAAGGACCAGGAUUGCAGUAUGUUUGCACAUCUAGCACAGUUGGACGAGCCGUCUUUUCAUUGGUUCUGGUUUGCUCAACCACCACAUUUGCUGCUCGAGCGACUUGGUCCACUGCUGCACCCAUUUCGUCUGUAUCGGUCAUGUCCGCAGCUACUGUGUGUGUUUUACCAUUUUUGGCAGCAUCACAGUCAUGAAGAUACGUGAUCACUGCUUGCUGUAAGCAUGUGGCUGACCCAUCAUUCACAGAUUGCAGUCCAUGUCUAUGAGCUUCACCAUCAUCCGAAUCUACAGGACACAUCCAUAUGAUGUUCGUUCUACUCAUGAGCCACAAAAGCAAAAGUUUUGGGAUCAAGCUUUCUUUUGAGUGAUUUUGUUACCUCCGUUGUCAUGUUGGAAGGAAGGACCAGGCCGACAUGUUGUUGGAACAUCUAAUCCAUGUGGACGGGCCCUUCGACGCUGCCUGGAACGCUGCUCUCCCAUAUCUGCUGGACAGUUUGGUGCAUCUGGAACACCGUGCCAACCCAGCAAUAUAGGGCCGCUGAUGGGGGGGUCUUCAUCAUCAGCAUCUCCUGCCCUUGCGCUACCAACCACAAGUAUUGUUGUUUGACACGUAGUAACAAGGUUAGUUUUAAACAUCUCCUGAUUUGUUUCGAUGUAUUAAUGCUUUGGUAAUUCAUCAUGUAGUCAUGUACAUAUAUUUUGCUAAAAUUCCGAAGUAAACCUCCUAUCCACGCGAUCCACCAGACGCAUGUGUUCAGGGCAGCUAGCAAAUCAUUUAAGUUAUUCAAUCCCGGCAUAGUUGUUUCACCAUUCAAUACUUCAGCUUCGUCCAUGUAGUCGAUUGGGACUUGCGAUGCUACUGCCAGAAAUUCGUCAUCCAAUUCUGUAAAACACAGAUUUUUUCCAUGAUCAUUUCUACUAAAUAUUAAUUUAUAAUAACGUUGGAGUAUUGUCUUAGUAGGACCAUACCCGUUGACUCAUCUUCUUCACCAGAAUAGUCAGUACCUGCCAAUGAUGCACCCCCAAAGAACUCAUCAUCUAGAUCUGAACACCGGGAAAUAGUUGACAUUAGAUCAGACUGUCUUUUUUCUUAUGCUUGGGAAUGGCUACAGCAUAUUAGUAUGGCAGCAAUUUAUACCCUCGUUACGACGCAAGGAGUCCUGUCCCCUGCUGACCAUACGCUCACCGUUGGCGGCGAGUGGAGACAGGUUUGCAGCCGCCUAUUGGCUUGCAUUCAGUAGCUCCCUCCAGUUCUUGUCCCUAACUUCGCCGUCAGUUAGUACAUCCCAUGCAGCUUCACCUUCAUUUUCAUGUUGGUCAUCUUGGCUGUCCCUCUCUAGUUCUGCCCAGUGUAUCUGUUCUUGGUUGUUACCAUUGGAUCUGCUGUUGCCAAAUGCAUGUUUGUCUGCUCCAGCAUAUGCAUAGUCACAAUUGAAAAUAUUAAAUAAAACAAGCAGUAUUAUUACAGAA